UUUCCUUUUCAACAGGUGUGAUCACUGUAACCAUACUGAAGGUAGCACUUGUGCUUGGAUGCCUCCUGAGCCUCGCUCUGGCUCAUCCUAUGGAGCGCAAACGAGUUGCUCGGUCUGAGUCCGACUCUGACUCGAGGUCCAAUGAGGUUUAUAGACCACAGCCUAGGCCAUUGCCAGUGCCUGCACCAGUGCCAGUGCCUGCGCCAAUUCCAAUUCCACUGCCAGUGCCAGUGCCUGCACCAGUGCCAGUGCCAGUGCCUGCGGUUGUCCAGAACAUCAUUGAUUACUUCGCCAAUCUAUUAGCUCCGCUUAUUCCUUCUAAAAAGUAAAAUCUGAGCAGAGAUUGAUGAGUACAGAAAAAACAGUAUUAAAUGAGACAGAUGUUUGACAUCAGUUUUGUUUUGUGUCAGUUUAUCAUGUCAACUGUUUUUUUUUUCUUUUCAAAUUGUAAUGACGUUAUCUUAACCAUGAUGUUGCUACACUCAUCAUUGUAGUUCACUCAAACAUGCAGAUCCAAAUCACUUUAUUCUCUGUACUAUCUGCACAAUA